GAUGAACGCUAGCGGGAGGCCUAACACAUGCAAGCCGAGCGGUAGAGUUUCUUCGGAAACUUGAGAGCGGCGUACGGGUGCGGAACACGUGUGCAACCUGCCUUUAUCUGGGGGAUAGCCUUUCGAAAGGAAGAUUAAUACCCCAUAAUAUAUUGAUUCGCAUGGAUUGAUAUUGAAAACUCCGGUGGAUAGAGAUGGGCACGCGCAAGAUUAGAUAGUUGGUGAGGUAACGGCUCACCAAGUCAGUGAUCUUUAGGGGGCCUGAGAGGGUGAUCCCCCACACUGGUACUGAGACACGGACCAGACUCCUACGGGAGGCAGCAGUGAGGAAUAUUGGACAAUGGGUGAGAGCCUGAUCCAGCCAUCCCGCGUGAAGGACGACGGUUCUAUGGAUUGUAAACUUCUUUUAUAUAGGGAUAAACCUACUCUCGUGAGGGUAGCUGAAGGUACUAUAUGAAUAAGCACCGGCUAACUCCGUGCCAGCAGCCGCAGUAAGAC
rnacentral:rRNA from 1 species